rnacentral:rRNA from 1 species
ACAGUGAUCCCCUCAGUAACUGCGAGUGAAGUGGGGAGAGCCCAACGUCGAAUCGCUUAUGUCCUUAAUAGGGUUGCGAGUGUAUCGCGAGCGAGCUGUGACGUACGGAUGUACUGCACCGAAUCCAGUCGUAUCACCAAAGUUUAUCUGGAAAGGUGUGCCAAAGAGGGUGAGAGCCCCGUGUGUGGUGAUAUGAGUGUUGUGUAAGACUGGGUUCGUCUGUGUGUGAAUAGCACCAGGUGUGGCAGUGUGUUCCCUGAGUCGGGUUGUUUGGGAUUGCAGCCCUAAGGGGGUGGUAAACUCCACCCAAGGCUAAAUACUGGCACAAGACCGAUAGCGUACAAGUACCGUGAGGGAAAGUUGAAAAGCAUUCCGAAAGGAAAGUCAAAAAGGACGUGAAACCGUUAAAGGGGAAGCGGAUGGAGGGGUCGAAAUAUCCCACCCGGUUCAACACUGUGUGCCAAUGGUACAUACGGUGUGUAUUCCGAGUUGUGUGGAUGAGCCGAAACAGUCGUUGUGAGUACGGCCAAGGCAGGCUGGGCAGUCAAUGGCUCUUCAUCCGCUACUUCAUUCAGCAAUGGGUGUUAGUAUGUGGUCCAUGGAAGUGAUCGACUGCUACCUGUUUGUGGUACGCGUGCCAUAACCGCAACCAUGACUUGGUGUAUUUACUGAAAGAUUCGUUCAUGAUGACUGAGAAUUUGCGUCGUUGAGACGGUGCUGUGCGUCUCCGCCUGUGCUUGUGCAUACUGGUGCUUGAGACACUGUGUUGGUGAUGUGUGUGAGUCCCGUGUAAAUUUGAUCUUCAGCCACAUUUUGGCUACUUCUGCUCUUCGGAAAGGAAGUAUGCAGGGUGUGGACUCAGUGGAGAACAAACUCAUACUAUCGGUGAAGCCUCCAUCGUGCGGGGUAGUGUGUUCAAAUUGCUUCACUGUAUUUUGAGGAUGCUGCUGCGAUGGUGGGUGAGACCUCAGAUGUUUCUACCGUGGGAACGCAAGCAAUUGCGAUCCUUCUAUACCGAUAUUUAUAUACACGAGUUGAUACUGUGCACGCGUACUACCGUUGCCAGGACCAACACCAGCACUUUUCUAAUGAGUACAGCUAAUUUUCGGCGAGACACCAAUCCAUCCGACCCGUCUUGAAACACGGACCAAGGAGCCUAACAUAUGCGCGAGUCAAAGGGUGACUGAAACCCAGUAAUGUGUGAGUUUCUCACACGACUUCGGGGCUGAACCAAGGUAUAAACCCAGAGUGUGUGACAACAAAACAAGUGAUGAGGCGCAAUGAAAGUGACCACCAGUUGUGGUGAUGAGGUGGGAUCUGGCAGGUUCAUGCAGGCCAGUCUCUGGUUCUAAUGUCCCUGUCGGCGCACCACCAGCCGGUCUGCACGUAGGUGUGGAUUGAGCGAGAGCGCAUAUGCUAGAACCCGAAAGAUGGUGAACUAUUCCUGGGUAGGGCGAAGCCGGAGGAAACUCCGGUGGAGGCUCGCAGCGAUUCUGACGUGCAAAUCGAUCGUCAAACCUGGGUAUAGGGGCGAAAGACUAAUCGAACCAUCUAGUAGCUGGUUCCUUCCGAAAUAUCCCUCAGGAUCGCUGAGACUCGAUAUAACAAUGAUGCGUUGUAUAGUAGAGCAUGGUAGUUUCAUCGGGUAGAGCUAAUGAUUAGAGUUAUUUGGGAGUUAUUGCUCCUGAAACUAUUCUCAAACUGCCAACCGGUGAGAGUGUAGCUGGUGAUUUCUUUGAUAUUUCAACCAAGUGCAUGCAAUGUGUGCAUUGUGUGCGCCUUGUUGAAGCUCUGGUGAGCUGGUGUAUCACUGGUGAGUGUGUGGUCAGAGGUGUAAGAAAGUGAUCUCUCACGGUAGAGACUGCACAUUGUAAGCAGUGGUACACUCCGCCCAUUGGAGUACCGGUGUAAGAUCCGGUGUAUGACUGAAUCAGUACCGGCCAAGGCUGUAUAUUGGCAAGGGUUAAACCUUGCGAUACAGCACCGCGUUAGGUUUGCGCGGGAGGUGAAUACCAGAGUCUCAAGUGGGCCGUUUCUGGUAAGCAGAACUGGCGAUGCGGGAUGAACCGAGAGCUGGGUUAAGGUGCCCAAGUGAGCGCCCACGGACUCCACCAAGGGAGUCGAUCAGUAAAGAUAGUAGGGCGGUGGCCAUGGAAGUCGGCACUCCGCUAAGGAACGUGUCACAACUCACCUACCGAAUCGAUCGGCCCCGAAAAUGGAUGGCGCUAAAGCGUUCCACCGAUACCCGGCCGUCGAUGAACGAAAUGACAAUCUAUCGACGGGUAGGAAGGCGCGACGGUUUUUGUGGCUGGGCUCGCCAGUGUUGGUUGACCUGGUAGCAAUACGUGAGUCAGCAGGCACUGGUAGUGGGUCAGUCAAUAUUACAAGUUUGCUGAGAAGGACCAGAUGUGAAUCUGUCCGGAGCAGCCGUCGGUGCAGAUCUUGGUGGUAGUAGCAACUAUUCGAAUGAGAACUUUGAAGGCCGAGGUGGAGACGGGUUCCACGUGAACAGCAUUUGAACGUGGGUCAGUCGGUCCUAAGCAGUCGCCUAACCGCAUGUGUCAGGCAAAGAGAAGAGGAUGUCGCAAGUCCACUUCUAGGGCUGCGAAAGGGAAUCGGGUUAAUAUUCCCGAACCAAGUGGCGUGUUGACUUCAGUGGUGUGUGAGCUUCUAGGGGUUAAAGCCUGUUAUUUCACGCGCUACGCAGUCACAAUGUCGGAAAUGCUGAUGGAAAGUAGCAUGUGCUCUAACGAGUGUGUGCUGCAGGUUGCCGUGCUUAUCACAGUUGGUAUAGGUUGUAUUGACUCUAUGCAUUUCUUAUGCUUUACCCGAAAGGUUUGAGCCUCUGAGAGGCGUUGUGGCAGACAGUGCAAACAGCCAUUCUCUGUUACACGGUGCGAUUCCAUAUGGCUUGGCGGUAACGCAAGCAAACUCAGAGACAUCCUUCGUGGUCCUGGAAAGAGUUAUCUUUUCUUGUUAACAGGCCAAGUGAUACGCCCCGGAAAAGAGUCAGUCUGAGAUGGGGCUGGGGGCCUGGAAGAGCAUCGCAGUUUCGGCGGUGUCCGGUGUACCAUGGUGUUUAGGGUCCUUGAAAAUCUGAGGGCGCGUUUCGUGCAUGUGGAAACACAUGUGCGUGAAUUUUCGCACUUGUCCGUACCGAAUCCGCAUCAGGUCUCCAAGGUUAACAGCCUCUGGCGUUGAAACAAUGUAGGUAAGGGAAGUCGGCAAAAUCGAUCCGUAACUUCGGGACAAGGAUUGGCUCUAAGGGUUGAGUCAGCCGGGCCACGGCUAGUGCUGAGUGUUUGCUGGUAGAUCGCCUGGGAUGUACGCGCUCUCGGGUGGCGUGUUCGAGACAUUUACUGUGCUAGUGCUUAGUCUACGUGGUUGGUGGAUAGAGAGGCGAGAUUGGCCUGUGUAAAAGCUGGUUGAUUGUGGCUGCUAUGUACCCCUGUUGGGGUGGUGAAUGUGACAAACGUUCAUUGUUCCCUGGCAAUUCGCUCUUAUAAAGUGAGUGAUUGACGGCUGUGGUCUGUGUGGUGUGCUAUCGCAUAUUAUGCAGAGUGAGGCCGUGUUAGUCGGCGGAUGACAAAUGAACAACCAACUUAGAACUGUCACUGACUCGGGGAAUCCGACUGUUUAAUUAAAACAAAGCAUUGCGAUGGCUGGAAACGGUGUUGAUGCAAUGUGAUUUCUGCCCAGUGCUCUGAAUGUCAAAGUGUGGUAACGCAACCAAGCUCGGGUAAACGGCAGGAGUAACUAUGACUCUGUGAAGGUAGCCAAAUGCCUCGUCAUCUAAUUAGUGACGCGCAUGAAUGGAUCAACGAGAUUCCCACUGUCCCUACCUACCAUUCAGCGAAACCACAGUCAAGGGAACGGGCUUGACUGAGACAGCGGGGAAAGAAGACCCUGUUGAGCUUGACUCUAGUUUGACUUUGUGAAAAGACACCAGAGGUGUAGCAUAGGUGGGAGGUGCGUGAUAUGGCAACAUGUGUGUGCAUCGAACCUGAAAUACCACCACUUUGGUCGUUUUCUUACUGACUCGGUGAUACAGGAAGGAUCAACUUUAAUUGUCUGCUGCAUGCCAUGCAGGAGCUUAUGCAGAUUAUAUGCUGGUCUAGUAUUGGUUGUGGUCUGUUAUGGUGACUGGGUGUCUGUAUGCAGUGGAGUAAAGAUCAUGGUUCGUUGCUUGGUGUUGAAAGCGAGCCGGUGUGUGCAUCUGCUGGGCAACCAGUGGAUGUGUGCAUUAGCUGCGCUGACCUGUGAGCUAGCGGGACUGGUGUGUGGAAUUAAUCAUGCCAGUAACCGCUGGUUCCUUGACAGCGUGAUAGCGCGGUUGUGGGUUUUCAUCUGACUGCAUUUGGUACACGGAAGGGGUAACUCUCGAGUGUGCUGAGUGAAGUAGGGUGUGUGAUCUGUGAUCGGUCUGCUGUUGCGAUGAUUUGCCGAGGACAGAGUCAGAUGGGGAGUUUGACUGGGGCGGUACAUCCUUUACAUUAUAACGAGGAUGUCCUAAGGCGAGCUCACCGUGGACAGAAACCACGGGUAGAWCAUAAGGGCAAAAGCUCGCUUGAUUCACAUUCUCAGUAAGAAUGCGAACCGUGAAAACGUGGCCUAACGAUCCUUUAUCAUAACACACCUGAGAGUUUCAGGUUAGAGGUGUCAGAAAAGUUACCACAGGGAUAACUGGCUUGUGGCAGCCAAGCGUACAUAGCGACGUUGCCGUUUGAUCCUUCGAUGUCGGCUCUUCCUAUCAUUGGAUUGCAAGAGGUCCAAAGUGUUGGUUUGUUCACCCGCCAACAGGGAACGUGAGCUGGGUUUAGACCGUCGUGAGACAGGUUAGUUUUACCCUACUGUCUCUCUGUGUAUAUCCAYKUAGAGCGCGCUGCGAUAGUAAUUUCGAUUAGUACGGAAGGAACAUUGUAAUCGGAUGAUCGGUGCAGCGCUUGGCUGAUGAGCCAG